CCUCUAUCCUCUCAUAUCCCUUAUGUUGUACCUUAGGGGGAAGAUUUGAUACGUGAAAGUGGUAUUCCUUAUACAAUAGUAAGGCCAUGUGCCUUAACUGAGGAGCCUGCCGGUGCUGAUCUCAUUUUCGACCAGGGAGACAAUAUUACGGGGAAGAUAUCAAGGGAAGAGGUUGCCCGCAUUUGUGUUGCUGCUCUGGAAAGCCCAUAUGCAUCUGACAAGACAUUUGAGGUCAAAAGUGUCAUUCCAUUCAGUGAACCAUUCACAGUGGACCCUGAAAACCCUCCCCCUGAGAAGGACUAUAAUAUAUACUUCAAAACUUUGAAGGAUGGUGUUACAGGGAAAGAAGUCUUGGAGCAUACUCCCGUGUUAGCUUGACGCCUUCACAUGAUGGGUUCCAUUUUCAGCAUUAUUACAUGUAAGUACAAGAGAGUACACAGAUCCUGGGUUUUUAUGUUGAGAAGGAUGGCUCGUACUCAGUCCAUUUACUAUCCCCAUCCAAAUGUUUACCACGAAAUUCUGUGUUCAAAAUAUUUCACCAUAGAGUGCUGUGUCGUUCUUUGGCAAAUAGCCUAGAGGUCAUCAUACCUCAUGCAUGGGAUUGAAUCCCUCCUUCCACUAAUGAAAGUUUAAUUGUUGUGAAUACAAGAUAAUAGUGGUCCAACACCAUAUCCUAUUUGGAUUGGAUGACAGUGGGUUUAGGAACAUGAACUGUAGUUCAUUUUUUUCUGCUUCCACUGACAUUCUCUUUGUAUAAUGGUUCAGGAGAAUCUCCAUCAAAAAACUGCUAGGGGGUUCUUAAGAAACUAAUGAGGAAGGGGAGCAUUGGUCUGUAAUAGAAGCAUUUCUUGCAGUUAGAUGUUUCAUAAUAUCAGAAUAAGUUGCAAGGACUACUUGACGCA